AUUGUAACUCCGCCUGUAGCCCCUCCGGGGGCUACUGCCGGUCCCAAGCCCGAGUAAAGGAGGAGGGUUGU
ncrna:Schistosoma mansoni type-P1 twister ribozyme